GGAGGAUGCAGCUCCUUAAAUGGCACGC
rnacentral:piRNA from 1 species